rnacentral:rRNA from 1 species
AUUGAACGCUGGCGGCAGGCCUAACACAUGCAAGUCGAGCGGAUGAAGGGAGCUUGCUCCUGGAUUUAGCGGCGGACGGGUGAGUAAUGCCUAGGAAUCUGCCUGGUAGUGGGGGAUAACGUCCGGAAACGGGCGCUAAUACCGCAUACGUCCUGAGGGAGAAAGUGGGGGAUCUUCGGACCUCACGCUAUCAGAUGAGCCUAGGUCGGAUUAGCUAGUUGGUGGGGUAAAGGCCUACCAAGGCGACGAUCCGUAACUGGUCUGAGAGGAUGAUCAGUCACACUGGAACUGAGACACGGUCCAGACUCCUACGGGAGGCAGCAGUGGGGAAUAUUGGACAAUGGGCGAAAGCCUGAUCCAGCCAUGCCGCGUGUGUGAAGAAGGUCUUCGGAUUGUAAAGCACUUUAAGUUGGGAGGAAGGGCAGUAAGUUAAUACCUUGCUGUUUUGACGUUACCAACAGAAUAAGCACCGGCUAACUUCGU